rnacentral:rRNA from 1 species
CAGGUCAGCAUACUGCCGUGAAUACGUUCCCGGGCCUUGUACACACCGCCCGUCACACCAUGAGAGUUGGAAAUACCCGAAGCCUGUGAGCUAACUUAAAGAGGCAGCAGUCGAAGGUAGAGCCAAUGAUUGGGGUGAAGUCGUAACAAGGUAAC